GACGAACGCUGGCGGCAUGCCUAAUACAUGCAAGUGGGACGCAAGGGAACACACUGUGCUUGCACACCGUGUUUUCUUGAGUCGCGAACGGGUGAGUAACGCGUAGGUAACCUGCCUAUUAGCGGGGGAUAACUAUUGGAAACGAUAGCUAAUACCGCAUAAUAUUAAUUAUUGCAUGAUAAUUGAUUGAAAGGUGCAAGCGCAUCACUAGUAGAUGGACCUGCGUUGUAUUAGCUAGUUGGUAAGGUAAGAGCUUACCAAGGCGACGAUACAUAGCCGACCUGAGAGGGUGAUCGGCCACACUGGGACUGAGACACGGCCCAGACUCCUACGGGAGGCAGCAGUAGGGAAUCUUCGGCAAUGGACGAAAGUCUGACCGAGCAACGCCGCGUGAGUGAAGAAGGUUUUCGGAUCGUAAAGCUCUGUUGUAAGUCAAGAACGUGUGUGAGAGUGGAAAGUUCACACAGUGACGGUAGCUACCAGAAAG
rnacentral:rRNA from 1 species